GAUGAACGCUAGCGACAGGCUUAACACAUGCAAGUCGAGGGGCAGCGGGGUAGGAAGCUUGCUUUCUGCCGCCGGCGACCGGCGCACGGGUGAGUAACACGUAUGCAACCUGGCCGUGACAGAUGGAUAACCGGGAGAAAUCCCGCCUAAUACAACAUAAUGCCGGGAGGGGACAUCCCCUGCCGGUCAAAGGGGGCGACCCCGGUCAUGGAUGGGCAUGCGGCGCAUUAGGUAGUUGGUGGGGCAACGGCCCACCAAGCCGACGAUGCGUAGGGGUUCUGAGAGGAAGGUCCCCCACAUUGGAACUGAGACACGGACCAG
rnacentral:rRNA from 1 species